rnacentral:rRNA from 1 species
GUGGGGAAUUUUGGACAAUGGGCGAAAGCCUGAUCCAGCCAUGCCGCGUGCAGGAUGAAGGCCUUCGGGUUGUAAACUGCUUUUGUACGGAACGAAAAGACUCUGGUUAAUACCUGGGGUCCAUGACGGUACCGUAAGAAUAAGCACCGGCUAACUACGUGCCAGCAGCCGCGGUAAUACGUAGGGUGCAAGCGUUAAUCGGAAUUACUGGGCGUAAAGCGUGCGCAGGCGGUUUUGUAAGACAGGCGUGAAAUCCCCGGGCUCAACCUGGGAAUUGCGCUUGUGACUGCAAGGCUGGAGUGCGGCAGAGGGGGAUGGAAUUCCGCGUGUAGCAGUGAAAUGCGUAGAUAUGCGGAGGAACACCGAUGGCGAAGGCAAUCCCCUGGGCCUGCACUGACGCUCAUGCACGAAAGCGUGGGGAGCAAACAGGAUUAGAAACCCGGGUAGUCC